rnacentral:misc_RNA from 1 species
CUGAAGUGUAUGCUCUCUUAAAGGUGAUUCAUGUUGUUAAAUAAUGACUCCUUGUGUGUGAUCCUUUUAUCUUUAAUUUGUGUAUGUUUUAUUGGAACACAUUUUUGUUUAUUUAAACUGCAUUUCCAUCUAUAAUUUAAGCGCAUAAGUGGUAGCUUCUCUUUUGUGCAAAAGUUGUGUAUAUAUUAACAUCAUAUGUAUUACUUAUCAUAUUUAUGUAAGGCUAAUUUAGAAGAAAAAAAAAAACCAAAGGUUUUGCACACAAUUGUAAUUUAAUCCGAUUCUUUCAAUUUUGGUAACUUAGGCCUACUUUCUUCAAAUCUGGUGUAAUUUUAUCGAAGACUCACAAUUGAUUUGGGGUGAGUUCUUUUCUUGUUGACAUGGCAAGCCACCUGCAGAUCGAAGGUUGACUAUUCCAAUUUUGCUCUUUUUUUUUUUUUUCAAAACUUUGGAAAUUCGCUAAAAAAUCCAGUGGUGCUAAGAAAUUAAAAAAACCAGCACCAAACAUUCUCAAAAGUUCCAAAUUAUUUUCAUGUGAAUUAAAAGAUUUGGCAGGGUGUGUUCUUGCUGACAUGGCACUCCAGGUGGCUUGCCAUGUUAACAAGAACACAUUCCUUCCAAAUCAACUUGGGGCCUUGGUUAAAAUUGCAUCAUAAUUGGAGAAAUUAGGCCUAAAUUGCCAAAAUUCAAAGAAUUAGAUUAAAUUGCAAUUGCAUGCAAACGUUUGGAUUGUUUUUAUAACUAGGCCUUUAUGUUAUCAUUAACACACACACAACCGCAUUAAGGAAUUGUAUAUGCAGUAGUUAUAUUGAAGUUUUCUUGCUGUAGUUACAUUGAAAUUUUCUGUAUCUCUUAGGAAAUACAUGGUUUGUUAAGGC